rnacentral:rRNA from 1 species
ACGUAGGGGGCCAGCGUUGUCCGGACUUACUGGGCGUAAAGCGCGCGCAGGUGGAUGAGUAUGUGCCGUGUGAAAGCGCCGUCCUUACGAUGGCGAGGUCGUGGCAGACAGCUUAUCUAGAGGCUCAGAGAGGUUGAUGGAAUUCCGGGUGGAGCGGUGAAAUGCGUAGAUAUCCGGAGGAACACCAGGGGCGAAAGCGGUCAACUGGCUGAGUUCUGACACUGAGGCGCGACGGCGUGGGGAGCAAACCGGA